UGGACAUUCAGGAAGAUGCUGUGAUCACUGAAUGGAGUGUCUGCUCAGGUCUGGGAACAUGAAGUCUUCACAUACUCUUGGUCUUGUGCUCACUGUGAGACACAAAUUGGAUCAAGCUGCCUGUCAAACUAUCCAUGUGAAGCAAGAUGAUGGAGGUUGCCAUCAAAUUGUAGAGGUCCUCUGGAUUUUGAGUUGAGGUAUCAUCAAAACUGCUGGAUCUGCUACUUUGUGGCAUUUGUGAUGCUGGACACAUCGGAGUGACAACAUGGAAGCUAUCAACCAUCUUAUGCUGCAAAUACUGACUGUUACAGUUAAAAGUCUCCUACAGCUCAAUACAGACUUUGGAAACAUGUAAAGAAUAUUAAACCUGUCAUAACUAAUG